AGACUAUGCUCCCCUCUGCGAGACUGCCCUUCCCCAGCUCAGAAGACUUCUCCUGGUUAAGCUUGAAGUGCUCCAGGGGCUGCAAAGCUCCAGCCCAGCCCAACUUCCAACAACCCUGUGGUUCUUGGGCUUCUCUGGCAGCUCUUCAGAUCAGCCCUGUCUCUCGGGAGAGCAGUUGCAGGGCCUCCAGCUGCCAGCCGCCUGCUGCCUCCUCCCCUGGCUUGGCUGUGACUCCUUACACCCCCGUUUCCUGCCACAAAGAGGGAGAGGAACUGACCCUGUACAAGUUCUAGAAGGAAGAGGGAAAUUGAGGCCCAGAGAUGUGAAGUGGCUUAUCCAAGAUCACGUCAAGAGAGUUUGGAGGUCAAGCUGUGCCAUUUGCUGAACCUGGUGCAUGAAGAAAGUGGCCUGUACAGACAGGAAUACCUGUGCUCAUAUCUGCAGCGGUGUGAUCUGGCUGUGACACAUCCCCACGCCUGGUGGUCACCAAGAACGGAGGAGGUGUUGGUCCCGAUGGUGGACAUGUCACUGGCUCAGGGGGUGGCAGUGCCUAGGGGAACCCCAUGUGAAGGUGCUCUCUUUUUUCCUCUAACACAUUGACUUAUGGCCGGGGUGUCACUUUCCCCCUUGGCACAGCAUCUUGCCCUCCUUUCUAUCUCCUUCUCUCUCCUUGCUCACAAAUGCCCAGCACUCCCACCACCACCCAAACCCAGCUGGGUUUCGACAUGGGCUUUGGAAGAGACAGAACUGGGUCUGAAUUAUUGCUCCUGUAACCUCAUAGUGUGUGGCCUUAGGCUAGUGACUUAAUCUCCCCAUGCCUCAGUUUCCUCAUUUGCAAAGUGGGAAUAAUAAUAACCUCAUGACCUCAUUGUGGGAUGGAGGGAUGGGAAGCAUGUCCCACGCAGUGCAAGGCAUGCCAGCCCUCUGCUCAUGCAGGCUUCCAGUUACCCCGUAAGUCACACAAGGUAUUGUGGGAUUGAUGGAUUCUCUACCCUUGGGAGCACUUGCAUUUUAAAAGAGACACUGGGACUGCUUCAUAAAGCACAAUUAAGUAGACGGGGGUGAAACUUCAGGAGAAGCAGUCAGGUAGAGGGAAGAGACAUUUUGGGGGCAGGAAGUGGCCUUCCUUUGCUUCUGAAAUCACACCACUUAGACUAGCAGUUCUCAGCCUAAAAGCUGUGACACGCUGGUGGGGGACCAGCAGUUGUGAGAUGUAUCACAAACAAAUAUGUUACUAAUAAUAAAGUGUCGCAGUUUUCGAAUAAUCCCCCCCAUUUUUUUUUUUGUAAAUUAAAGGGAAUUCAAGGUUAUCUGCAUAAUAUCAUCAUACCCAGCUCACAUUCCUACAUCUUUUCUCAAAUGGGAUAGAAAAGGGUGCAUUCUGGGACCGAGCAUACC